CUCAUCGUAAAAACAAGAAGUGACUUCAAUGUGCCUUUAAAAAACACUGACUAGAUACGGGGGAAAUUUUCCUUAGCAAAACCAAGUCGAUGCUUCAUUCCCCUCCAAAAAAUGGAUCACGAAAAGACAGAAUUGGUUUGUUCUUCCAGAUAAAAUGGAAAUAUCUUCUGAAGUGACCCAUGUAAUGGGGAGAGGACAGAAAUCCACAUGCAUGGGGCUACAGGAUGAGCAUUCCAAGUGAAUUCUGACUCUAGUAACAGUCCCAGUCACAAGUAAUUGAGACCGUGGGUGACAGACACAGUCCUAGAAGGGCUGGCUCUGGAAACAGAGGCAAGACGACUUUUCUCAAGACGGCCCAUCUCCCGUAGUUCCCCCAUAGUAAUGACUCUGUCCUGAAGGGCCAAAGCCAGCUGGACAAGUACAGACAGGCCGGACUCCUCCAUUAACCGUCAACUUGCUUUUCAUCUUGGGAGGUAGGUGGGCACUCGAUGACAUCAAGGGGAUUCUCUGAGGUGAAAGCCCCCGGUCACCUAUGACAGACCCAGGCUGUGAUGAUAAGGGUGUCCUUCCGCCACUCCAGCCCCUGGCUCCCUAGCCUUGGCAGAGACCCUCCAAAUAAGCAGUAGACGCUUCCUGAGCACAAUAAGUGAUCGAGAAAGCUCCACGAGCAGACAAAAUUGCCGGCCAAGCACUAGUUUAUUAUCUACUGAUCCUGCCAGCACUUGAACUGACAAAUGCAAUUUCACGCGGGCCGAGAGGACCGGAUUCAGGCGGUUGGUAUGCGGAACUGCUAAUGACCUCAGAGGGAGUUACAAGACCUCUCACCUUGGAGCUUUAAAACCAAGCAAAACACAGCCAUCAGCACCCAGGGCUCAGAGGCAGAGGGCUGGCCUAGAGGAUCCGAGGCCCUUUAGGGCCCAGGGAUGUGGAUCUUAGGUCAACGGUGACAAACUGACCAACUUUCCCUCAGAAUGAGGCAGCUGCCUGGGGUACUGGUUAGAGCCUUGGACCCGAACUCCGGGAAAACCUGAAAAUCCCACCCUUGAGCAACGGCUCUCCAUCUCAGUUGCCUCAUCUCUACAAUGGGCAGAACAAUAUCACCUACAACCCAGGGGUUUAUGAGGAUGAGGAAAACAAAGGCACAGUGAGACUCGGUGGUUUUCCCUGGGUCACACAGCUAGAGAGCGUCUGGGGCAGGAUUCAAACUCAGGUCUUCCCCACUCUAGGUCUAGCACUCUAAGAACCACUGGGAAACCACGCUGCCUGGCACCGAACCUCACGUCCCACCACGUACACGGUCGGCUUGAUAAACGUACACUGGCGGACAGAAGGUGGCCAAACUCAGUCAUUCUACUUAACAGUAAAGACGAGCCAAAGCAGCACGUGUACUGGUGGCAGAGACGUUCCUUCGAAGAUAAGAAAACCAAGAGGCAGAGAUGUGAAGAGAUCUGUUCAUGAUCACCCAGCUCAUAAGUGCCAGACACGGAAUCUGAACCCCAUUCUUCCAACUCCAAGUGCAGUACCCUGCAAGAUGACAGGAAUACAGACAGACAGCUGGAAGGGGUCUUGGAAGCCACUCCCUUUAUUUUACCAGUGAGGAAACUGAGGCACAAAAAGGUUAAAUGGCUUUGUCCAAGGCCACAAUCAGACCUUCAAUAAACGCUUAGUAAGCACCUACUACGUGCCCAGCCCAGUUCCCACUGUCUAGCGAAGGGAGGCCACCUGCAAACAAGAUGGAGACCUCUAAGCUGGGAGCACACAGUCCCUGAAGGAAGGCACUAGCUUUAAGGCGGCCUGGACAAAGUAGAGGAGCCAGUCUCUGAAGUCAGGUCUUCCAGACAUGCUCUCCCAGCCUCCAUCAGCAAUGCAGGCCACACCAAGGUGACUGUGCCAGAGGCCUCAGGCCACAGCCAUCCCCUCUUCCCCAAGAACUCCUGAAACACCAGCAAACGUUAACCCUUCCCUUCCCACUGCCCCCCAGCGUGGGGGGGCCACUGGUCCAGAUGCCCACAGUGCAGUGGGGCCAGACAACUGGAUCAGGGAUGGGGCCAGCUCAGGGGACUCAACCAAUAAACUUCU